rnacentral:rRNA from 2 species
GGCGGCAGGCUUAACACAUGCAAGUCGAACGACAUAGUGGCAGACGGGUGAGUAACGCGUGGAAACGUACCUUUCACUACGGAAUAGCUCUUGGAAACGAGUGGUAAUACCGUAUACGCCCUUCGGGGGAAAGAUUUAUCGGUGAAAGAUCGGUCCGCGUUAGAUUAGCUAGUUGGUGAGGUAAGAGCUCACCAAGGCGACGAUCUAUAGCUGGUCUGAGAGGAUGAUCAGCCACACUGGGACUGAGACACGGCCCAGACUCCUACGGGAGGCAGCAGUGGGGAAUAUUGCACAAUGGGCGAAAGCCUGAUGCAGCCAUGCCGCGUGAAUGAUGAAGGCCUUAGGGUUGUAAAAUUCUUUCGCUAGGGAUGAUAAUGACAGUACCUAGUAAAGAAGCCCCGGCUAACUUCGUGCCAGCAGCCGCGGUAAUACGAAGGGGGCUAGCGUUGUUCGGAAUUACUGGGCGUAAAGCGCACGUAGGCGGGUUAUUAAGUCAGAUGUGAAAUCCCAAGGCUCAACCUUGGAACUGCAUUUGAAACUGAUAGCCUAGAGAUCAGGAGAGGUUAGCGGAAUACCGAGUGUAGAGGUGAAAUUCGUAGAUAUUCGGUGGAACACCAGUGGCGAAGGCGGCUAACUGGACUGAUACUGACGCUGA